UGGGGAAUAUUGGACAAUGGGCGCAAGCCUGAUCCAGCAAUGCCGCGUGUGUGAAGAAGGCCUUCGGGUUGUAAAGCACUUUUAUCUGGAGCGAAAUCUGCAGGGCUAAUACCCAUGCAGUCUGACGGUACCAGAGGAAUAAGCACCGGCUAACUUCGUGCCAGCAGCCGCGGUAAUACGAAGGGUGCAAGCGUUACUCGGAAUUACUGGGCGUAAAGCGUGAGUAGGUGGUUUCUUAAGUCUGCUGUGAAAGCCCCGGGCUCAACCUGGGAAUUGCAGUGGAUACUGGGGAGCUAGAGUGCGGUAGAGGGUAGUGGAAUUCCCGGUGUAGCGGUGAAAUGCGUAGAGAUCGGGAGGAACACCAGUGGCGAAGGCGGCUACCUGGACCAGCACUGACACUGAGUCACGAAAGCGUGGGGAGCAAACA
rnacentral:rRNA from 1 species